AAAAAGUUUAUUUGAAAAGUGCAGAAUAAAUGGGUAUGGGAGAAACCAGCUCUGCAGAGCAACUUGGGCCAAAGAAAAAAGAGACUAAAAGCAAAAGUGCUAUGUUCAGACAUAGCAUGGGCUACCAUGCAAACUCACACACCAUAGGGGUUUCCUCUGAUGGCUGGUCCUUUUUAUGCUGUCCACAUCUUGUGGGAGCUCCAAAGUUCUACAUAUGGAGUCCUCGAGUUGCCCUGGUAUCUUGUAUUUGACAGGCCCGCUCAUUUCCCCAGCCAGCUUUGCCACACCCUAUCUCCUAUAUCACAGAGGUAAGGGGAGGGAUGGCUUCAGUCUUCUGAGUAAGGUAGGAGGUGAGAUUAUUUGCUGCGAUUUAAAAACCACUGAUGAUCCUAGGAACUCAGGAGGCUGACGCAGCAGUAUUGCAAGCUGGAGGCCAGCCUGGAUAACUUAGGGAGACUCUGUCUAAACGUGGGGGUAGAAAGGAGCUGGGAAUGUAACAGCACUUGCCUAGCAUUUGCAAGGCACUUGGUUCUAUCCCCAGUACUUGGGGUGGAAGGCACUGAUGAGUAUUCUAGACAUCUUUAUGAGCAUUUUAUGAAAAUAAAAAAUAAGUGUUUUUGAAUUUCACUAUGUAGGCUGAUGUUCCCCAAGCAAUUGUUCUAAAAAAAAACCUGUACAACUCAAUUUUAUUUUUAAUGCUUUUCCUGAUUACAAAAGUAUGUCUACAGUAGAAAAUUUUAAAAAGAUGAAAACAUACAAGAAAUGAAAGUCAACUCUAUAAUCCACUAUCACCCCUAGUCCACAGUUAGGGGCUGGUUUUAUUUUCAUGCAGUCAAUCUCUUAUACAGCUACAAUUCUGUUUUACAACACAAAAUACAAGUAUUUUACAUACUUAAGAUUCUACACAAUUUUGUUUAUGUCUUCAAACAUAACUUGAAAGGUUUUGGGCCACCCAAGAUGUUGAGAUACCAUAACUUAUUUAGCCAUUCUACUAUUUUGGAACAUUUAGGAUGCUCCUGAUUCUUUAUUUCAUAUAUGUAUAUAUAUCAUACAUACAUAUAUUCAGAUGUAUGUAGGUAUAUAUUUAUGCAUCCUUGUGGAAAACAGUUUGCCUCUUAGUAUUUUUUUCCUUAUCAAUGACUGAGUCAGAGCACGUAUAUUUUCUAUUAGUGCAUAUUAAUUAUAUGGAGCGAGCUUCACUGUGUCAUAUUGAUACACGCAUACAUACUUCGAUCACAUACACUCCAUUACCCUCCCUUCUCUCUCUGAUCCCCUUACUCUAAAUAGUGACGUUUCUUCUUUCAAGAUUCUUGAAAGAUACAGCCAAGUUACUUUCCAGAAAAAGCGCGCUAAUUUUUACUCUUGCCCACAGCUAAGUGGCUGAGGACCCUCCCUGGCAUUUCCAAAGAAGUACAUAGGAAAGCUGCUUCUUCUGGUAAUCGGCAUCGGCAUGUUGGGACUUUGCCAUAAAACCUGAGGUCGCGUUUAAAAAAAAAAUAGCAGUCAGAAACCACCUCUCUAAAACUCUCCGUGGCAUCCAGAUCCUGGGGGUGGGGGGUGGUCAGAGGAAGAUUCAAGGUUCCUUUCAAUUAGCGAGGUUCUAGUAUUUUCACCCGGAUCGCUGGCCGAAGGUGAGGAUUUUGGGACGCGUGCUUUGAUUCGGCGGAAAUACGUGGGGAACAAGAGUAAGGCAGCCGGGGGCUGGGGCGGCCAGCGCGCGGCCCAGAAGUGGCCCCACUACGCGCGCGCGCGCGCACACACACACACACACACACACACACACACACACACACACACGCUUGCACACGCGCCCGCACCCGG
rnacentral:lncRNA from 1 species